rnacentral:rRNA from 1 species
GACGAACGCUGGCGGCGUGCUUAACACAUGCAAGUCGAACGCUGAAGCUCAGCUUUUGUUGGGUGGAUGAGUGGCGAACGGGUGAGUAACACGUGAGUAACCUGCCCCCUUCUUUGGGAUAACGCCCGGAAACGGGUGCUAAUACUGGAUAUUCACUGGUCUUCGCAUGGGGGUUGGUGGAAAGGGUUUUUCUGGUGGGGGAUGGGCUCGCGGCCUAUCAGCUUGUUGGUGGGGUGAUGGCCUACCAAUGCUUUGACGGGUAGCCGGCCUGAGAGGGUGCCCGGUCACAUUGGGACUGAGAUCGGGCCCGAAAUAAUACGGGGGGCAGCAGUGGGGAAUAUUGCACAAUGGGCGCAAGCCUGAUGCGGCGACGCAGCGUGAGGGAUGGAGGCCGUCGGGUUGUGAACCUCUUUCGCUCAUGGUCAAGCCGCAACAAUGGUUGUGGUGAGGGUAGUGGGUAAAGAAGCGCCGGCUAACUACGUG